UUUGCCAGAUUUAUCUAACUAAUUUUCUCUUUCUAAGGCUCUAUUGAAACAUAUAAUAAAGGGUUCACAGAAAAGGAUCAGUGAAAAAGCCCUCUAAGUGUGAUAUGCUGUCAGCUGUAACAUGAACAGUUUGAUUGAAGAGAAGGUUCAGAAUUCAGUGAAAUGUCUACAGCAGGAUAAAAUCUUACGGAACUUAAAAAGAUUCAAGUGUAUGAGAAGAAUUGGUCUAGGGGUGACAGAGCAAGUAUUUGGCAUUCAAGGGAAUUUUGGAAAGUAGAGAAAACUGGCUAGCGAUCCGUCAAGAGUCUUGGGUGGAUGUUCUGUACCUUUUAGGAAAAUCUAUUAAAAAGUCCUCAAGAGGAUCCUCUUUACUCCUAUUUCCAAGGGAAAUCACACAUAGGUCAUAGAUAACUUGACAGACAAGAUGAAGGGUUCUUAUACCAUGUAAAAAACUUAAGAAGCCCCAGCUGUUGUAAAGACUAUAGAGCAGUCAAGUGUGACAUUUUGAAAGCACAGAAAUAGAAUCAUGGUGACCUUGGGCACCUUAUUACUAACUUUCAGUGUGACAAAAUCAGUGUCAUUGCAUUUAAAUUUCUUCAUCCUUAAAUUUGGUUUACUCUGAUCAUGCUACUUAAUGCAUUGGGUUAUUCUGAGGAACAAGUUGCAUUUAAUUUACAUAACUGUAUUUUUAAAGUAUAGUGAUUUUUCAUUUAUAUAUUUUUUACUGAUAAUAGUUUUUAUUGACAAUGCAUUAAAAAAAAGGCUAUGAGCUAUGAUGGGUAAGGAGAGUGAAAAGACAAGAGGGUCAAACAAAGAAUAAAGGCACAGACAAUAUGACAUGUUCAGGAAUUGUCAUGAAUGAAACACAAUAAGACUAAUGAGAGAGAAGACUUUGAAAUGUAGAACAUCGGUUGAGUGGCUUUGAAUGCUAGGCAGGGUUGGUCACAUUUUACAACAUGUAAAGGAGUUCUAGAUCUAUUAAUGGCAUCACAUGCAAAAGUAAAUCUUUCAUGGACCCUCCAGUAAAAGUAAAAUAAGAAUUGAAACAUGUUUUAUUUAUUUUUAUUUACUUGAGAAAUGUAUCUUUUGUGUAUUAUUUUGAUAUUAUCGGCUUACAAUUCAGAAGACUUUAUCUAAUUGUGAUAAUGAACUUUGACUAAAUGCUUCCAUGUCUUACAAUUCCGUAUGAUUAUUUUCAUUCAUUGGUGAUAAGGCUAGCUAGUGGUUGGAGUGCAAUCUGUUUCCAUUGAGCAAAGCAAAGCUGGUUGAUCUUUAAUGUAAAUAAACCUAUAAGUUUACCUCAUUAGUCACAUAUUUAAGCUAGAUAAUCUGGAAUAUUUAUCUAAAAUCAUCACCCUGUAGUCUACACUGUAGAGUGAAUACGGUACAAUCCACUUUGUAAGAUUAUUUAAUGCAAUAUAUUCCCAUGUCAAAAUAGUUAAUUCUUAAGAUUAUUAUACAUUUUAUUUUUAUGUAAUUUUAUCAUCCAAAGCACUUGGAAAACCUGGAUCACGUGGAAUACACCUUGAAAGAUCUAAAUAUCUUUUGAAAAAGAAAAAUCUUAUUUAGCGAACUUAAGAACCAUGUCAGCAAAUAUCAAGUGUAAACAUCCCUAGAAAUUACGUUUUCUCUUUCAAAGUCAAUAUGGUUAGCUGCAGAUGAGCUAUGGAUGUGGCAAAUACUUGAUAAGUGCACUUAUAUUUCUGACAAAUGUUCUAGGUUAAGUGAUGGGUCAUGUAACUAAACACAUCACCUGAUGAGUGGGAGCUAUUAUAGAGUAAAAAUUGGAAAUAAGUAGAAUAUAGUAAUGGUAGCAUUGAUGACACCUGGAAACUUAACAUUAAUAUUUAUUAAUUUUUGCUAACUUACUGAAAGCACAGUAAAAACUAGCUGUCAUUUAUUGAUUAGCUAAUAUAUCCCUGGCAAUGAACUAGGAUCUUUACCUACAAAUAAGGCAAAUGGCGGAGGAAGGGGCCAAUUCCACAUAUUACAGACCAGCAGUCUCAGGAAGGUGAAAUAUUGUCAGAGCCUCACCUAGCCCGUGAGUGGAGAGUCAAAACUUACAUACAAAACACGACAAAUCCAAACUCAAAACUCUUAGCAUUUUGACAUUUUCUUUCAGAGCUAAACAGGCAACAUUCAAACUACUAAAAUGAGUAAAUGCAAAAGUGCUUGUAUUUAUUAGAUACUUAGUAGUACAUAAAUAACCUAUAACAAUUGUCUAUCGGUGUAUAUAUAGAAACACAAUAAUGACACAUUUUUUUCCGGAAAACUGGCACCCCAAAUCAGGUGGUUUUGGCCUAAGGAAAUGAGCCAGAAGCCACAUGCAUCUUUUCAUCGGAUCACCAGCAGGUUGCUUCUGAGGACACCUCCGGGCAGGUUGGACACUGUGCGGACCCUCACAGCCUGGGGCAACUGGCUGGUGCUCUUGCCGCGAAGUGAGCCAACACAAACCCAGAAUUACAAACUUCAUCACACGCAAGUGGUCCAGGCAGCAGCUGUUACAAAUAGCACAGCUAUGAACAGGUGUAAUGGGAAGGACUGAUUGGAUCAUGGUGUGGUGAAUGAAAACUGUGAUUUUCUCGAAUGGAUACUCAUCACAGGUGGAGAGACUUCUUCCACGUCUCCACCUAGCUUUUCAAGGAUGGAGCCUACUGGAGCUCUAGGGUUCUGGAUCCGGAUAUCAGGGGUUCCGGGACAUGCUACCUUCCAGAAAUGACAGAGACAUUACAAGGAUUUCUUAGCUAAUGACAACUCUGACCUAAGUGCAGUGAAAAGCACCAGAAUGAUAUUUGAAGCUGAUACAACUGCUAGAGAAAAAGCCAAAAGAAAAUACAAGAUAUUUCGCCCCUGAAGAAAAUGCAAGUCCUGGGAUUAUAAACUCUGCUGAUGGUAGGAGGUGAAUUUAGUUUUAAUUUUAGUUUAGUGCAGUUUAGUUUUAAAUUUAUUCGUGAUGACCCUAUUUACUGUCCCGAAGUCAAUGAGUAACUUAUUCACAGAACCUUUUUGCAACGUGGGUAUGAAUUUUAUUUUGGGGUGUAUUAAAAAUGGAGGCAGAGAAGCUAUAAAAAAUAGUAAAAAUCCUAUUAAAAGCAUUUUUCUUUUAAUGAAGAUUGCCUUAAUGUUGGGAUCUUAAUGGGAUGAAGAUAAUAUGUUACCAUAUGGUCUGAAUUGAGUCAUUUUUUUAAUCAGCUAUUUAUUUUG